UACGUAGGCAGCGAGCGUUGUUCGGAGUUACUGGGCGUAAAGGGUGUGUAGGCGGUUGUUUAAGUUUGGUGUGAAAUCUCCCGGCUCAACUGGGAGGGUGCGCCGAAUACUGAAUGACUUGGAGUGCGGGAGAGGUGAGUGGAAUUCCUGGUGUAGCGGUGAAAUGCGCAGAUAUCAGGAAGAACACCCGUGGCUAAGGCGGCUCUCUAGUACGGUACUGACGCUGAGACGCGAAAGCGUGGGGAGCGAACAGG
rnacentral:rRNA from 1 species